rnacentral:rRNA from 1 species
AGAGUUUGAUCAUGGCUCAGAUUGAACGCUGGCGGCAUGCUUUACACAUGCAAGUCGAACGGCAGCGCGGGGGCAACCCUGGCGGCGAGUGGCGAACGGGUGAGUAAUGCAUCGGAACGUAUCCUGUAAUGGGGGAUAACGUAGCGAAAGUUACGCUAAUACCGCAUACGCUCGAGAGAGGAAAGUGGGGAUCGCAAGACCUCACGUUAUAGGAGCGGCCGAUGUCCGAUUAGCUAGUUGGUGGGGUAAAGGCCUACCAAGGCGACGAUCGGUAGCUGGUCUGAGAGGAUGAUCAGCCACACUGGGACUGAGACACGGCCCAGACUCCUACGGGAGGCAGCAGUGGGGAAUUUUGGACAAUGGGCGAAAGCCUGAUCCAGCCAUGCCGCGUGCGGGAAGAAGGCCUUCGGGUUGUAAACCGCUUUAGUCCGGGAAAAAGGGGUGCGAGGAUAAUACCCUUGUGCUUUGAUGGUACUGGAAGAAUAAGCACCGGCUAACUACGUG